rnacentral:sRNA from 1 species
CAUGGACGACGUUGACGUUGAGUGCCUU